rnacentral:rRNA from 1 species
AUUGAACGCUGGCGGCAUGCCUUACACAUGCAAGUCGAACGGUAACGGGCCUUCGGGUGCCGCCGAGUGGCGAACGGGUGCGUGAUACAUCGGAACGUGCCCGAUCGUGGGGGGUAACGAGGCGAAAGCUUUGCUAAUACCGCAUACGAUCUACGGAUGAAAGCAGGGGACCGCAAGGCCUUGCGCGGACGGAGCGGCCGAUGGCAGAUUAGGUAGUUGGUGGGAUAAAAGCUUACCAAGCCGACGAUCUGUAGCUGGUCUGAGAGGAUGAUCAGCCACACUGGGACUGAGACCCGGCCCAGACUCCUACGGGAGGCAGCAGUGGGGAAUUUUGGACAAUGGGCGCAAGCCUGAUCCAGCCAUGCCGCGUGCAGGAUGAAGGCCUUCGGGUUGGAAACUGCUUUUGUACGGAACGAAAAGCCUUCUUUUAAUACAGGAGGGUCAUGACGGUACCGUAAGAAUAAGCACCGGCUAACUACGUG